rnacentral:tRNA from 1 species
AAGAAACUAUUAUAAAAAGUAUUUUUAUUUUAAGCUUAAAAGGUUUGUUUUUUA